CUGCGGCACAGGCGGCUCCCAAGCGGGCCUGGGCCGCAGCGGCCGCACGAAUCCCCUCCCCGCGCCCCGGGCGCCGCCACCGGCGGCAUGGAGCCGUGUGGGCAAGGCCCUGCAGGGCAAUGGCUCUCUCUGCCAUGGUGCCUCUGGCUUUUUUGUCAACCCAGGAGGUCACAGCAGAGCAAGAGGUGCCGGUGGAGGGUCGCAGCUGCAGGAGGGCUCUCGAGAGGAGCCAUGGAGCAUUACCUGGCUGCAGGGCUGCGAGACGCAGACGGACUGCUGAGUGCAGAGGAGAAGAGGGGCGAGCCCGGGCGCAGAAGACAGCAACUCGGAGCAGGAUGUCCUGAGCUGCUGGAUAUGCCGCUCGGGGUCAAACUCCCUUUGCUGCCUGGCUCCAACCCUGUCUUCUACCGGAGCAAGCUGGGGGAAAAGCUUCACCAGCCAUCUGGUUAUUUCAAUCUGGGCGAUCCACACUGCCGCUUACUAAGCAACGAGUACAACGGUCUGCAUGACCCGCAUUUGCAGGCCUACUACAACUGCAAAGACAGCCUGCGGAGACUGAAG